rnacentral:rRNA from 1 species
UAAGACGGAGGGCGCAAGCGUUGUUCGGAAUUACUGGGCGUAAAGGGCGGGCAGGCGGCCUGUUAAGUCGUGUGUGAAAAUCCGGGGCUCAACCCCGCGAAAUGCUCACGAUACUGGCAGACUGGAGACCGGUAGAGGCUAGCGGAAUUCCUGGUGUAGCGGUGGAAUGCGUAGAUAUCAGGAAGAACACCUGUGGCGAAGGCGGCUAGCUGGGCCGGGUCUGACGCUGAACCGCGAAAGCGUGGGGAGCAAACAGGAUUAGAUACCCUGGUAGUCCACGCCGUAAACGAUGGGCACUAGGUACCGGGUCUAUAGACGGAUUCGGUGCCGCAGCUAACGCAUUAAGUGCCCCGCCUGGGGAGUACGGUCGCAAGGCUG